GAGAAUAAACAAAUACCCAAAAAGCAAUAAAACAAUUAAAGCACAAGAAAGAUCUCACAGUAGUGAUGAAUCAAAGCUUCGUUAUCCUUCAACCAGAAAAAUAGGUUUAGUUCUUCAUAGAGAGGAGAGAAAAAUUAAAUCUAGGGUUUCUUUCUUUUUCUCCAAUCCAAAAUUCCCUCCUUUUUCACAAUAGAUUCCUCCC
rnacentral:lncRNA from 1 species